ensembl:lncRNA
CGACCCCAUGGACUGCAGCCUACCAGGCUUCUCCGUCCAUGGGAUUUUCCAGGCAAGUGUACUGAAGUGGGGUGCCACUGCCUUCUCCGCAUGGCUUAUUUGCCUGUAUAUUAGUGGCAGUUCAGGGCUCUAAGGGAUAGGAAACUGUCUUUUCUUAAAGAGUAGGCCCAGAAUUGGCACAUAUACAGAGAAGAAACCAAGGAGAUGGCAGCCGCCUUUGGGGACAAACUACCCUGGAUGGACAGGCAGAGCAGACACCCUACAGCACGAAGAUGCAAGUAAUCAGAUAGGGGCCCGGAGAUCUGAAAGCUCCUAUACGAGAAAAAUCCAAGGAGUUGAGAACUGAAAUGAAGCGUCUGUAUCUGAUAAACAAUGGAGAAUCACUGUAAGUUCUUCGGCAGCAAAAGUGGCUUUCACUCACGCAACACACCCACAUGUAUUGUUUGCCCGCUAGCAUCAGGGCUGAGUGGUAUACAAACAAACAUACACAAGGCAGGCACGGGCCAGCCGCCACGGGUUAGAGUUUAGCGGGAGAUGCACAUGAGUGAAUAGGCACUUACAGGUUGGUGUGAUGACUGCUAACAAAGAGGAAGUGUGAGGUAUUAUGAGAGGAUAAGCAGGAGGGAAGAGAAGGGGUAGCUCAGAUAAACAGGAGGGAAGAGAAGGGGUAGCUCAAUUAAAAAAAAAAAAGGUCUCUCUAGGGAUUUCCCUAGUGGUCCAGUGGUUAAGACUCUGCACUUCCACUCCACCGCAAGGGGUAUAGUUUUGACCCCUGGUUGGAGAACUAAGAUCCCACAUGCCAUGCAGCAGUGGCCGAAAAGAAAAGAUCCCUCUAACAAAAGUUUCUGGGAAAGACAGAAGCCAAGGAGACCCGUUAGUGACAGGUGAUUCAAAUUAAGACACUAAAUCUUCAUCGCUAGUGAAUGACAAUGCAGCCCGGACAUGGAGUAUACUUUGAACAUGAUGGGUGUUAAAGCUGUCACGUCAUCCCUUUUCAAGAUUUGGUUCUGCCCAAUAUAUAAAGGCAUCUGGCGAAACUUGUAAAAUGACCACAAGUGGCUGGAAAGCUACCAAGGCAUUAUUUGGCACACCUGGGAGAUCACAUCAAAGGCCGCAGAGCAUUCUUUCUCAUGCCCUGGAAGCACCUCCCAGAUUCCAAAGAAAGAGCUUAUUGUCCUCUUGGAAGUACACAGAGUCAC